rnacentral:rRNA from 1 species
GACGAACGCUGGCGGCGUGCUUUACACAUGCAAGUCGAACGGUGAAGGUGGAGCUUGCUCCGCCGGAUCAGUGGCGAACGGGUGAGUAACACGUGGGCAACCUGCCCCUAACUUUGGGAUAACUACUCGAAAGAGUAGCUAAUACCGGAUAUGAAGUCUGUAGGCAUCUAUGGAUUUGGAAAGUUUUUCGGUUAGGGAUGGGCCCGCGGCCUAUCAGCUUGUUGGUGAGGUAGUGGCGCACCAAGGCGACGACGGGUAGCCGGCCUGAGAGGGCGACCGGCCACACUGGGACUGGGACACGGCCCAGACUCCUACGGGAGGCAGCAGUGGGGAAUACUGCGCAAUGGGCGAAAGCCUGACGCGGCAACGCCGCGUGCGGGAUGAAGGCCUUCGGGUUGUAAACCGCUUUCAGCAGGGAAGAAGCGAAAGUGACGGUACCUGCAGAAGAAGCACCGGCUAACUACGUGCCAGCAGCCGCCGUAA